rnacentral:lncRNA from 13 species
ACUAUUGCCACUUUUUCUCGUUUUUCAAGCUAAGGUCUUUUAAAGUAGUAGGCUUUGCGGUCUCGUUCGGUUCUCCUUGCAGAGAUCAGCUAGGUGCCAGCCGAACCAAACCUUUUGGAAGGCUUAUGUGCACAAUUUUACGUCUAGCUAACUGGUGCAGUAUUUCUCAAGUGAAAGAAUGUGCAUGAAAACUAGUAAUCUAUUGUUGAAUGACGUCAAACACUUAAUUGAAGAAUCCAGUAUAUAUGCCGUGUGCUAGUCGGAACUAGGAAACUCAGAAAUGCGCAACUUGAUAAUUGGUUCGGCUCCGGAGUGGCCCAGCGGUCAAUGGCUCUGUAUCACAACCGGCCGGGAUUGGGAGUCCCAUACUGUAGUGCGGCGCACAAUUGGCCUAGCGUCAUCCUGUUUAGGAUUUUAGCCAGGGUAGGAGGUCAUUGUAAAUACGAAUUUGUUCUUAACUUGUAUCCCUAGUUCAAUAAAAACACGGCAGGUGUAUAAAUACAACCAAUUAGCAAGUCGUACAUUUCCGAGUUCUGACUAGUACAUGAAACUAGCAAUAGUGCAACUUCUUCUAGGAUAAGUACUGUUGAGCAAUCAUCGAGAGGGAAGCAUGCUACAGGCUUUAUGCUUGAUGCCGAGUUCACUUGCUCGUCGAAACUAGAAAACUGGGACAUUUUCGAUUGUAGUUAAUCAAGCUGUCUCAUUCAACGAUUUAGCAAAUCAAAAAAGUCAGAGUUUUCUAGUUCCGACUACUAUUUGAACGCAGCAAUAGACUUCGGCUGCUGAACUUUGACUGGCUUCAAGAAGAAAACGAACAAAAACGUCACAAAAUGUUAUAUGCGCGAACUGUUUCGAGAGGGAAGCAUGCUACAGGUUUGAUGCUUGAUGCCGACAAGCCACCUCCUACCUUCCUGUGCAUGCUUGAUAAAAUCUCUUCUGUGGAGAUUUGGUUCCAAAUAUUGAUUCCUCCAGCAGACCUGACCUUUAGUGUGAAGUUCGGAAAAGGACAGCAAACAAAGACUGCAAUCAAUGUUCCAGCCAUUAAUAAGAAUACUGGUAUGAUGAAAACCCCAGCAAACUCAAACAUACAAUAAAGACAUAUUAGAUAGUAUAUCAUAUUGAAGUGGAGGGAAACACCAUACUAAUACUUCUGGAUCCCAGUCUACAA